rnacentral:tRNA from 1 species
GCAAGUGUGGCCGAGUGGUUAAGGCGGUAGGUGAACCUUCUGCAGCUUGCAUCUGCCAACGAAUCGCUAACUGAACGUAUCAGCUGGAUUUAAGCGAAUACAAGGUUGAAGUCGGACCCUUUACAGGGGUCCCCUUCGACCUUCCGCUUAGACCCCCAGUGGGGAAACCCGCGCAGGUUCGAACCCUGCCGCUUGCA